rnacentral:rRNA from 1 species
ACGGCGAGUGAAGCAGCAAUAGCUCAAAUUUGAAAUCUGGCGUCUUCGACGUCCGAGUUGUAAUUUGUAGAGGAUGCUUCUGAGUAACCACCGACCUAAGUUCCUUGGAACAGGACGUCAUAGAGGGUGAGAAUCCCGUAUGCGGUCGGAAAGGUGCUCUAUACGUAGCUCCUUCGACGAGUCGAGUUGUUUGGGAAUGCAGCUCUAAAUGGGAGGUAAAUUUCUUCUAAAGCUAAAUAUUGGCCAGAGACCGAUAGCGCACAAGUAGAGUGAUCGAAAGAUGAAAAGCACUUUGGAAAGAGAGUUAAAAAGCACGUGAAAUUGUUAAAAGGGAAGGGAUUGCAACCAGACUUGCUCGCGGUGUUCCGCCGGUCUUCUGACCGGUCUACUCGCCGCGUUGCAGGCCAGCAUCGUCUGGUGCCGCUGGAUAAGACUUGAGGAAUGUAGCUCCCUCGGGAGUGUUAUAGCCUCUUGUGAUGCAGCGAGCGCCGGGCGAGGUCCGCGCUUCGGCUAGGAUGCUGGCGUAAUGGUCGUAAUCCGCCCGUCUU